ACUCAGUUAUGAAAACUUUGGAUUUGCUACUGGCUUUAAAGUGAUGAUAAAGUGUGUCUGAGGAGA